AAUUAAAAAUCUCAUCCAAUUUUACUAUUAAAAAUUAGUGUAGUUAAUGAAAUGAUCAAACAGUUAUACGUGGCAUGCCAUAUGCACCUCAAGCUGACGUUUAAGAACCCAUUUUUAUUUUUUAACAAUAAAAAUAGAUGAAAAUUUUAACA
rnacentral:pre_miRNA from 1 species